rnacentral:pre_miRNA from 1 species
CCACAGAAUGCGUCGAAUAUCAAAAUCAUGUCAAAAUAUGGAUAGAUUUUGUAUGAGACGCAUUUCCGUGGC